rnacentral:tRNA from 2 species
GGGGCAUUAGCUCAGCUGGGAGAGCGCGUGGUUCGCAAUCACGAGGUCAGGGGUUCGAUCCCCCUAUGCUCCACCA